CCGAGUACCCGCGGGCGCGAGCGCGCUGCCGUGCUUCCCCUGACAGGCCAGGUGUAGACCCGCCCCUCCGCAGGACCCCAGCCCGGUUGAUGCUCGUGGGGGUGGCGAUGGGGUGGGGGUGGGGGCCCCCUGAGGGCCAUGUGCCCAAGGUGUGGCAGGUCCCGAUGCUGGGGCCUCGGGUCUAUGCGGAAACUCAGAUGUGACAGAAAAGCGGGAAGAGAGGAGGCCAGGAUACCCCAGCGUGGGGCAUGAAGGAAGGGAUGUGCGCCGUGCGGACCGGAGAUGGGUGGCCUCGGAAACCUGCGUGGCCUUCCAAGGCAGAGAAAUCAAGAGUCCCAGCCCUCACCUUCCCCUUGCCGCUGGUCACCUCUCAUCUUCCCCCACUUUAGGAUGCGGCUAAGCCGCCGGGCUCUCUAUGCGCUAGUUCUGCUGCUCGCCUGCGCCUCGCUGGGGCUCCUGUACGCCAGCACCCGAGACGCGCCCAGGCUUCCGAACCCUCUGGCGUUGUGGUCGCCCCCACAAGGUCCCCCGAAGCUCGAUCUGCUAGAUCUUGCCCCUGAGCCCCGCUAUGCACACAUCCCGGUCAGGUUCAAGGAGCAAGUAGUGGGGCUGCUGACUCCGUAUAACUGCAGUUGUGAACCCAGGGGAGGGAGCUUUGCCUUCCCGUUCCAGAGACAGGCUCGAGUCAUUGACCUCACUAAAGCCUUUAACGCUGAGGAGCUGCAGACUGUUUCUGUCGCCAGGGAGCUGGAAUACCAGGCCUUCCUUGCAAGAAGCCAGUCCCUGACUGACCAGCUACUCAUAGCCCCAGCCAACUCCCCCUUACAGUAUCCCCUGCAGGGCGUGGAGGUUCAGCCUCUCAGGAGCAUCCUGGUGCCAGGGCUAAGUCUGCAGGAAGCUGCUGCCCAGGAGGUGUAUCAGGUGAACCUGAUUGCUUCCCUAGGCACCUGGGAUGUGGCAGGGGACGUGGAAGGCGUGACUCUCACUGGAGAGGGACAGCCGAAUCUCACCCUUGCCAGCCCAGGCCUGGAUAGACUCAACCGGCAGCUGCAACUGGUCACUUACAGCAGUCGAAGCCACCAGGCCAACACAGCAGACACAGUCCGGUUCUCCACCAAGGGACAUGAAGCUGCCUUCACCAUCCGCAUAAGAUAUCCUCCCCAACCCCGGCUGUACCCACCUUCAUAUGUACGCGAGGGAGCCCAGUACAACAUCAGUGCUCUGGUUACCAUCGCCACCAAGACCUUUCUUCGUUAUGAGCGUCUACGGACACUCAUUGCCAGCAUUCGUCGCUUUUACCCCACCGUUACCAUAAUCAUCGCUGACGACAGCGACAAACCGGAGCGCAUUAGCGACCCCCACGUGGAGCACUAUUUCAUGCCCUUCGGCAAGGGCUGGUUCGCAGGUCGGAACCUGGCGGUAUCCCAAGUAACCACCAAAUACGUGCUGUGGGUGGAUGACGACUUCGUCUUCACGGCGCGCACGCGGCUGGAGAAGCUUGUGAACGUGCUGGAGAGAACGCCCCUGGACCUGGUUGGGGGCGCGGUGCGGGAGAUCUCGGGUUUCUCUACCACCUACCGGCAGCUGCUGACUGUGGAGCCGGGCGCCCCAGGCCUUGGGGACUGCCUUCGGCAUAAACGUGGUUUCCACCACGAGCUCCUUGGCUUCCCAAACUGCGUGGUCACCGACGGCGUGGUCAACUUCUUCCUGGCGCGCACGGACAAAGUGCGCGAGGUGGGCUUUGACCCGCGCCUCAACCGGGUGGCACAUCUGGAAUUCUUCCUGGACGGACUUGGUUCCCUUCGUGUUGGCUCCUGCUCUGAUAUUGUCGUGGAUCACGCCUCGAAGGUGAAACUGCCGUGGGUGUCAAAGGAUACGCAGGCAGACACUUAUGCCCGCUACCGUUACCCGGGAUCGCUGGACCAGAGUCAGGUGGCCAAACAUCGUCUGCUCUUCUUCAAGCACAGGCUACAGUGCAUGACCGCUGAGUGACAGCUGAUUGGGCCUUCCCACUGUCAGGCUGGGCCUGCCUCCUGGUCCCUGCCAGGAAUUCCCAACAACCCCUCCAACUCCUGACCCCUGACCCCCUGUCCAUCAACCUGAUCCCUAACAGGGGUUUGUCCUGGUGACAACCCUUCCUUUCUGUGAGUGACCAGAGGCCUGAUGGAGCCAUAACCUUUCCCACAGCCAGUGCCAAGUCCUUCCCCAACCCCAUUCCAAUGGGGCAGGAAAUGGGGGGAUUCACUUUCCAAGUGCCAAAGAGCCCAGAAGGACUCUGAGACCCUCAAGUGGAAACAACUCUCACCUCCUGAGGGGGCAGGGAAACUCCCAAUGUGCAACCCCAGGGACACGCACCCCCACCCCAGCUCUGGAUCCAGCACCAUGUGUCCCAGCUUCAACAUACCCCACAGGGAGCACUGUGACCGUUGUGUGGAGCUGGAGAACACAUGCAUCCGCAAAGCUGAUGCCGCUGAAGUCCAGGACCACCACUCUGAUGGGCUCAGCACCUGGGAUGGAAGAAAGCAGGAGCAUCCAGACACCUGGUGGCUCACGGCCAAAGCUCCCUCUUCUCAUCCCGUCUCACCUUUGUCAGCCCCAGACGCCACUCCAAGAUGUGGCGGAACUGCCCACGGGUUGCGAAGUAGAGUGGUGUUGGAUAGCUCAGGAUGCAGAGACCCGGAACCUGGAGGAGCUGAAGGAUAGUAGAAGAAGGGCCCCAGCCACAACAGCACUGCCAGGAC